rnacentral:rRNA from 1 species
UAACAGCUCAAAUUUGAAAUCUGGCUCCUUCGGAGUCCGUGUUGUAAUUUGUAGAAGCAGCUGUGGGUUGUGGGACCGGCCUAAGUUCCUUGGAACAGGACGUCCUAGAGGGUGAGAAUCCCGUAUGUGGCCGAGGCCUGCACCCGUGUAAAGCUCUUCCGACGAGUCGAGAUGUUUGGUAAUGCAGCUCAAAAUGGGUGGUAAAGUUCAUCUAAAGCUAAAUAUAGGCCAGAGACCGCUAGCGAACAAGUAGAGUGAUCGAAAGAUGAAAAGCACUCUGGAAAGAGAGUUAAGCAGUACGUGAAAUUGUUGAAAGGGAAUCGCUUGCAACCAGACUUGGACACCACUGAUCCGCGGGGGUUCUCUCUCGGGCACUCGUUGGGGUACAGGCCAGCAUCGGUUUGGAUGGUUGGAUAAAGGCCGAAGGGACGUAGCUCCUCUCGGGGAGUGUUAUAGCCUUCGGUGCAAUGCAGCGCAGCCGUACCGAGGACCGCGCCUUCGGGCUAGGAUGCUGGCGUAAUGGUUGUAAGCGACCCG